CCUACGGGGGGCAGCAGUGGGGAAUUUUGCGCAAUGGGGGAAACCCUGACGCAGCAACGCCGCGUGCGGGACGAAGGCCUUCGGGUUGUAAACCGCUUUCAGCAGGGACGAAUUCCGACGGUACCUGCAGAAGAAGCCCCGGCUAACUACGUGCCAGCAGCCGCGGUAAUACGUAGGGGGCGAGCGUUAUCCGGAUUCAUUGGGCGUAAAGCGCGCGUAGGCGGCGCGUCAAGCGGGACCUCUAACCCCGGGGCUCAACCCCGGGCCGGGUCCCGGACUGGCGCGCUCGAGUGCGGUAGAGGCGG
rnacentral:rRNA from 1 species